rnacentral:rRNA from 1 species
CCUACGGGUGGCUGCAGUGAGGAAUAUUGGUCAAUGGCCGGAAGGCUGAACCAGCCAUGCCGCGUGAAGGUCAGUGCCCUAUGGGCGUUAAACUUCUUUUGUGCGGGAGCAUUAAUGGUCACGUGUGGCCAGACGAGAGUACCGUACGAAUAAGAAUCGGCUAACUCCGUGCCAGCAGCCGCGGUAGUACGGGGGAUGCAAGCGUUAUCCGGAUUUAUGGGGUUUAAAGGGGGCGCAGGCGGGAGAUAAUGUCAGCGGUAAAAUGUCGGGGCUCAACCCCGGCCGGCCGUUGAAACUGGUUUUCUAGAGUUGGAGAGAGGUAGGCGGAAUUCGUGGUGUAGCGGUAAAAUGCGUAGAUAUCACGAAGAACUCCGAUUGCGAAGGCAGCAUACCGGCUCCAUACUGACGCUGAGGCACGAAAGCGUGGGGAGCGAACAGGAUUAGAUACCCUAGUAGUC